rnacentral:tRNA from 34 species
GCGGGAAUAGCUCAAUUGGUAGAGCAUCAGCCUUCCAAGCUGAGGGUUGCGAGUUCGAGUCUCGUUUCCCGCUCCA